rnacentral:rRNA from 1 species
GAUGAACGCUGGCGGCGUGCCUAAUACAUGCAAGUCGAGCGAAUGGAUUAAGAGCUUGCUCUUAUGAAGUUAGCGGCGGACGGGUGAGUAACACGUGGGUAACCUGCCCGUAAGACUGGGAUAACUCCGGGAAACCGGGGCUAAUACCGGAUAACAUUUUGAACCGCAUGGUUCGAAAUUGAAAGGCGGCUUCGGCUGUCACUUAUGGAUGGACCCGCGUCGCAUUAGCUAGUUGGUGAGGUAACGGCUCACCGAGGCAACGAUGCGUAGCCGACCUGGGAGGGUGAUCGGCAACACUGGGACUGAGACACGGCCCAGACUCCUACGGGAGGCAGCAGUAGGGAAUCUUCCGCAAUGGACGAAAGUCUGACGGAGCAACGCCGCGUGAGUGAUGAAGGCUUUCGGGUCGUAAAACUCUGUUGUUAGGGAAGAACAAGUGCUAGUUGAAUAAGCUGACACCUUGACGGUACCUAACCAGAAAGCCACGGCUAACUACGUGCCAGCAGCCGCAGUAA